GAGCGCGGGAAGCGAACGGAACUCUUCGGAGGGAAGUUCGUGGAACGAGCGGCGGACGGGUGAGUAACACGUAGGCAACCUGCCUGUAAGACUGGGAUAACUCGCGGAAACGCGAGCUAAUACCGGAUAACACUUUCCAUCUCCUGAUGGAAAGUUGAAAGGCGGCUUUUGCUGUCACUUACAGAUGGGCCUGCGGCGCACUAGCUAGUUGGUGAGGUAACGGCUCACCAAGGCGACGAUGCGUAGCCGACCUGAGAGGGUGAUCGGCCACACUGGGACUGAGACACGGCCCAGACUCCUACGGGAGGCAGCAGUAGGGAAUCUUCCGCAAUGGACGAAAGUCUGACGGAGCAACGCCGCGUGAGUGAUGAAGGUUUUCGGAUCGUAAAACUCUGUUGUCAGGGAAGAACAAGUACGAUAGUAACUGAUCGUACCUUGACGGUACCCGACCAGAAAGCCACGGCUAACUACGUGCCAGCAGCCGCGGUAAUACGUAGGUGGCAAGCGUUGUCCGGAAUUAUUGGGCGUAAAGCGCUCGCAGGCGGGUUCUUUAAGUCUGAUGUGAAAUCUUGCGGCUCAACCGCAAA
rnacentral:rRNA from 1 species